UGUGGUGUAGUGUAAUGGUAACACAGAAGACUUUGACUCUUCUAUUCUAGGUUCAAUCCCUAGCACCACUACCAA
rnacentral:tRNA from 1 species